UGCAGAUUUGGACUCCAAGUGCUUCAGUCCCAUCCAUUGUAUCUGGUGGAGCCGCAGGACCAGAGGCUCCAAAUGUGUUAGAUGCUAUGGAAAGCAAUCAGCGCACAUUAUGCCGCACUCGUGAAACAUUUUUGCCAUUUGAGAUUUUGGAGCGGUUUCGGAUGCAUGAGUUUACUGAAGGAAGUUUGCAUCCAUUUGAGUGCACACAAAGCUGAUCUUGUUUCAUGCCAUUGCAGGAUGAUAAAAUGAGGAAUUGAAGCACGCAGACAUGCUGAAGUUCCUAUGAGAAACAAUGCAAUUGUUAUACAGAAAUGAUCCAUGUAAAGCUAUAUUUAUGUUCACAAGCUUAUCGUCGUGCUUUGUACCUUCUCCUAAAAGAUGCGCAACAGAGAAAUAAAGAUUUGUAAAUAAUUGUACCCAUGUGUUGAUAUAGUUUAUAUGCUCAAUGUCCAAUGGUGGUUGCAUAUAAUGGUGCUGGGAAUUUAUAUAAUAUUUUCUUCUUGGAGUCUUCGCUGGUUUAGCUGAUGUAUUCGUUAGCAUCAGUGCAAUGUGGAUUACCAUUGGAGUAAUAUAACCUUCAAUGGUAACGUUCCCGGCGAAGAGGAAUUGUUAUUGGAGGGAUUUGUACUAUUAUGAGGUCUAUGUUGAAAAUGAAUUCGAAUCGA